AAUAUAAUAAUAACAAAUAUAUAGUCAUUGAUCCAGCAUAGAUUAUACUUGUCUUUACACCAACGAAGUCAUAAAAUAUUUUAACUAUUUUUUUAAAUGCAGGAAGAAGCCCAGAAAAAUCAAAGUGCCUGAGGUCCGUGAAAGCUGUAAUGACUCCCUACCAUGAAGAUGCUAAAGGCUAAGGUUGAAGAACAUGAGUAUCAAGGUCUGGUUCCAGACUACAUGCUCGUGGCCACUACACUCUGCUGCUGCCUCGUAUUCUAUACGCCUUGUACACUGUAACUCCACUGAAGUGCUGGUGGUGGUGGUGUGUGUGUGAGAGAGAGAGAGAGAACUGGGGCAUCGGGAGGCCCCCAGCCCUCACACCUACCAGCCCAGCCACUGUGCAGAAUGCAGGGAUCCUGCCUGGAGGAGCAGGGUGCCCUGCCCUAUCUGCACUGGACACUUGGGACCACAGCCGCUGCCCUGUGAGGUACGAAUUAGGCUCUGGGUCACUCCCUGGGGCCCCAUUUAUUCCAUAACUACUUGAAUUCUCUGGGGUCAAGCUUUGAGCUUAAAGAU
rnacentral:lncRNA from 1 species